CCUACGGGUGGCUGCAGUGGGGAAUAUUGGUCAAUGGGCGCAAGCCUGAACCAGCCAAGUCGCGUGAAGGAUGACUGCCCUACGGGUUUUAAACUUCUUUUAUAAAGGAGUAAAGUGAGGCACGUGUGCCUUUUUGUCUGUACUUUAUGAAUAAGGAUCGGCUAACUCCGUGCCAGCAGCCGCGGUAAUACGGAGGAUCCGAGCGUUAUCCGGAUUUAUUGGGUUUAAAGGGAGCGUAGAUGGGUUGUUAAGUCAGUUGUGAAAGUUUGCGGCUCAACCGUAAAAUUGCAAUUGAUACUGGCAGCCUUGAGUACAGUUGAGGUAGGCGGAAUUCGUGGUGUAGCGGUGAAAUGCUUAGAUAUCACGAAGAACUCCGAUUGCGAAGGCAGCUUACUAAACUGCCACUGACAUUGAUGCUCGAAAGUGUGGGUAUCAAACAGGAUUAGAUACCCCUGUAGUC
rnacentral:rRNA from 1 species